rnacentral:lncRNA from 1 species
UUUUUUUCCUUAAAAUUUCCCUGUCUGCCAUUGUAUAACUAGCCACAGUUCUGUACACUACUGAGAGGUCCUUAGGCCCCUGUGGUGGCCCCAGACAUCUCUCGGGGGGUCACUCUUUAUGUAUGAAGUCUAGGGCUAUAUUUUCCUGUCACACAUUUCCUCUCAUUUAGAGCAAGUAUAUCUUUUUACUUGUCUUUAUUUUAUUUUAUUUUUUUGUGCAUGGUUUCCGAGAUAGAUUCUUACUGUGUAGCCCUAGCUAGAACUAGAUAUGUAGACGAGGCUUGUCUCAAACUGACAGAGAACCACUCAACUCUGCCUCCCAAGUGCUGGGAUUAAAGGGGUACGCUACUAUGCCCAGCUACAAAUCUAUCUUACACAGCCAGGUACAAACUCAAAUAAAAAUGAAAGAUUGUCAGCCGAUGCCAGAAGCUACUGAGGAGCAGAUAGAGAGAUGCUUUCCAUGGUGGAGGAGGGAGGAAUAUUUUCUAAGCUUUCAAAUAGAGCUGCCUCUGUUGAUAAAGGGAGGUGCUGACACAGCCAGAGGAGGGAGAAUGUGCCCUGGGCUUGGCAGGGGCACUAUGUGGGUGGGUUGUGUUAGGCCUCCAAGGCACAGAAACCCCAGCCAGCCCCUGCGAAUGUGACUACAGCUUCUCUGUUCCCUUCUCAUGUUCGGGGAAUCUUUCUUAGAUACCCUGCUGGUUAGACUCAACAGUUUAUAGCCAUGCUCAAGCUAGGGGCGACUUGUAGCCCGAUGAGGUCUGCCAGCCCUUGGUAGUAGUAUUUCUCGGGAGUUGACACUCCCAGAGCACAGCCUGGCAGAUGAGAAUGCCCUGGCCCCAGACACAACUUUGGCUUCACACUGGAAUGUACACACAAUCAUGUGAGAGCACCACCUAAUAGCUUUGCCAAGGAACCUGACUACUCAAGCAAACAAAAGGCUCCACUCUCCCUAUGGGUAAAGGGUGCACGAACAUCCUUUUUAAAAGAACUACAAAUGAUUUUGCUAACUCUCUUGGCUCGUUCCUUUUGCAUCUGUGCCUGUCUAAGGAAAAUGUUAGGGGUUUCAGAUUUUUUUUUUAGACACUCAAAAAUUGAGGGACCUAUGGAUAGGAGAAGCAUGCUCUAUAAAACACAGAAAAUACACUUGCCAGUGUGGUUAAAGAGUCAAAACAAACAGGAAAGGGCCCAAGCUAGAACUUGCUUGCAGAAUAGCAAGAGAGGGUCAAGAUCUGGCGCCCCAAAAUAUCCCAGGUCUGAAUGUCCAAAGUGAGGCUGGCACUGUACCCCUAGCCCAAGGGACUCCCUACAGAGGGAGAGCAGACUCUGCAAGUCAUUGCCCUGAGUCCUGGACAUGCUCAGAACCCUGGCACUCGAUCUUGCUAGCCACUGAAGGCCGGGGUGGGGGUGGGGGUGGGGAGGCAGAAUUAUGAGUGACAUUUUAUAGGUGCCAUGAGAUUGGUUUCUGUUUCUUCUUGGGUAGAAAUGCCUUUUUCCAAUCCCACAUUAGCUUUGAGUGCUUGGCCAAACUUGCUCCAGAAAGCUUCAGGCAAAGCCCAGUGCCUCGGGCUUCCAGAAUGUGUCAGAGAAGGGUUCUUAAGCCCAUGUCCCAUGUGAUCGCCCAUGUUCCCUAGAGCUCACGGGGUUGGGGCGGGGAGGGCAGGAAGAGCUGGGCCAGGCUGGAUUGUGGCCCUGCCUCCUGGUCCUGUACCUUCUUGAUUUCCUAGCUCUUCGCUCUUCUCCCUUCUGUUCUUUCCCCUUAGGCAAGAAUUAGUGCUGUUGUAUAAACAAAAUACCAGCCACAAAACUACCCCCAAAUGACAAUAUGACCCUCCUUAACCCCUUGUAGAGAGCCCUGAGUAGGCCUUAACACGCUGUCUUCCUCUGGUAACCUCGUCUGCAGCUGCUGUCUGACCCCUGUUUGAGACAAUGUUUCUGGUAUUUCUGUCUGUAAUGUGCGUUUAAUAUAGAAAUCCUCGUUUUGUUCUCAAACCUGUAAAUGCUUUGUUUCCAAACCACCUCCUCUCACUGCUACAGAUCAGUGGGCCUGGCACAGAUUUCCUUACCCUGGCCUCACAGUACCUGCCUGGAGUUUAGAAGUCUGGAAACCGGACAAAGGGAAAAAAAAUCAAAAACGCUGGGCGGGAUGGCUGUUCUCUUGGGUGCACGCCCUUGGUUGCAGAUGGUUUCUUUUCUAGGUAGAGGAAUCCCAUUAUGCAGAAUGAAAAGUGAGGCACAAGGCACAUGGGUGGGAAGGGAAAAGGAGAGCUUUUCUCCCUGCGUGCAGACAAGAGCAGGAGAAGCACGCUCUGCAGACAUCUGCUGAGGAAGUGUCUUUCCUGGAGAAGCUGUAGUUACCAGUGGCACUGGGCUGUCCCCUAACCCCAGGUACUCUUCAGUGGUACCCACUGGCUCCCACAGUUAGGGAACACAGGCACGGGCCCACGCGAGCCGGAAUAGCCACACGCUACAAAGAAUGCGUACAAAGACCCUGGGCCUCUGCCUGACGAGGAGGUUGGGAUCCUCUCGUGGCUUCCUAGGGCCCCUUCCCUUCAAGGCUAUGGGAGAAAAAACCCAGGAAAGGAAAUGCUGUGGAACAGCUGCCAUGCCGUCUGCUUCCCAACCUGACCGCCAGAGCCAAAGCUGAGCAGUGGUACUGUGUGAACCUUGAACACACCUCUCAAUGUAAAUGUGUAUAUUUAUGUGUGUAGAUGGGUUUUAGUUCAGUGUGUAGGCAGAUACUAUUUAUCUAUACUGUGCCCUAACUGGUAACAGUGAGACUGUUUAUAAAGCUACUAGUCUGAAAGCCAUAGGAAUUUUCUCUGGAAGCUUGCCCUGGCUUGACUCCCCCAGCAUAGCCAGGAUUCAGAGGGAGCCCAGCCACUAGGCAUGGCCUCCUGUGGGGCAUAGAUGCGGGGGCCAGGUCUCUGGGGUGGUACACACCCCUACACUCAGGUAAUCAGUUUUCCUCAUCAACAAAGCAAUAGUCUUACUGGUGCGGGGACCAGAGAGUCUCAGAUACCUCCUUUCCCUCAAGUCAGUCUGUGGUCUAAGUGUUAGCUCCACUGUGGCCGUCUCAGAUAGCCAUUGUCUUAGUAUUCACUGGGCCUGGCUGCUUCCUGCAGGACAGUGGAACCCAUUAGGCCCUCUGUGCCACUGAAUACUGGCCAGUGAAGUAAAGGGGUUCGCUUUUAAUCGCCCAACUGUUCUCUUGGGGUGAGGCAGGAGACUGGCAGCAAAGACUGCCCAGAGCUGUGGUACAUAGAAGCCAGAGUGCGGAGGACCAGCUGUGCCAAGGAACACUUUGCCUGUCCACUCUGACCUUCCCUAAAGCUUUUAAUUUGCCCUUGUUUUUAAUCUGUGCUGUUGUGAGUUGUUUUUUUUUUUUUUUGGUGUGUUGCUUUGUGAGUUUUUUUUUAUUUAAUUGUGUAACUUUGUUCUUGCCAUUACUGUGAAACCAAGGUGUGUGUGCUUUAAGGGUUUUUUUCUCUCUCUCUUUUUUUUUUUUUUUGGUGUUUUGUUUUUUUUUAACAAAUGUUACAUUCUUAUUUAAGAGAAUAAAUUCCAAACAA